GAUGAACGCUGGCGGCGUGCCUAAUACAUGCAAGUCGAGCGAACGGACGAGAAGCUUGCUUCUCUGAUGUUAGCGGCGGACGGGUGAGUAACACGUGGAUAACCUACCUAUAAGACUUGGAUAACUUCGGGAAACCGGAGCUAAUACCGGAUAAUAUUUUGAACCGCAUGGUUCAAAAGUGAAAGACGGUCUUGCUGUCACUUAUAGAUGGAUCCGCGCUGCAUUAGCUAGUUGGUAAGGUAACGGCUUACCAAGGCAACGAUGCAUAGCCGACCUGAGAGGGUGAUCGGCCACACUGGAACUGAGACACGGUCCAGACUCCUACGGGAGGCAGCAGUAGGGAAUCUUCCGCAAUGGGCGAAAGCCUGACGGAGCAACGCCGCGUGAGUGAUGAAGGUCUUCGGAUCGUAAAACUCUGUUAUUAGGGAAGAACAUAAGUGUAAGUAACUGUGCACAUCUUGACGGUACCUAAUCAGAAAGCCACGGCUAACUACGUG
rnacentral:rRNA from 1 species